GUUUUUUCCUCGGAUAAUUACAUUUGCUAGGAAAACUCUUGCAAAAUAGAAAAAUGACCUCCAUGAAGUACCUUCCCAGUCAGAUUUAUUUCAGAAAAAAGUGCUAUAAUUUUAAAUUGGAGCAAUAUUGCUGGUAGAAAAGUUGUACACAGAAAAAAAAUGCCAUAUUUUUUUACUAAUACCUAUAUUUCGCACAUUUUCCGUUUUACGGCAUUUUAUACAGGUUUUUCCCAGUCACUAUGAAAACCGAUUGAAAAAUCACAAAUAUGA